ACAUGCAAGUCGAACGAUCUUAACCUCGGUUAAGAUAGUGGCGCACGGGUGAGUAACGCGUAAGAAUCAACCCUGAGGAGGGGGAUAACAGUUGGAAACGACUGCUAAUACCCCAUAUGCUGAGGAGUGAAACGACUUCGGUCGGCCUUGGGACGAGCUUGCGUCUGAUUAGCUAGUUGGUGGGGUAAUUGCCCACCAAGGCGACGAUCAGUAACUGGUCUGAGAGGAUGAUCAGUCACACUGGAACUGAGACACGGUCCAGACUCC
rnacentral:rRNA from 2 species